GUCACAUAACCAACUUUCCUCCCCAAGUAGGGAGAAUGAGGAGGGUCAGGUGGCCAAAUCAGGCCAAGCAUAGAAAAGGAAUGGGCUUUGAGAGAGAAGGGUGCAGACUGAUACUGAGAAGGUGCCUGAAGGGAAGGGGGUGGGUGCCUGCUGGCCUCUUUCAGUUUGGAGAGGAAUAAAACAAAGAGGAAGACAAUCAGCUAAGUGAGGGCUGCAGCUGACUGGGAUUAAAACAGCCUUGAGGAGAUUGUGGGGCUCCUUUGUGAGGAAGAGAAGAUAGCAGAGAACCAGUCUUAUUACGAUGCUCUGAGAGAAGGGGAAACUGAGCCACCCUGGACCAUGAGUGGAUGCUGGGGAGGGAGUGACCCUGUUUACAAGGGGGUUGAAGAGUUUCUUAAGAAAACUACUGAACAACUGGCAGAGCAGGCUUCUGUGUCUCAGGAGGAGAACUGAGCAAGGAGCCUAGAAAAACUGCAGCAGCAGCAGGACCAGCUUCUCCACCAUCUCCCUGGAAAGGAGCAGCAGAUUGAAGGCUCACAGGCUACAGUAUGCAGUGCAACAUUUGCACCAGCCCUAAAGUAAGGGUUGGGGCUGUUUUAAUUUUGGGGGGUGGGAGAAGGACAGUCAGCAAUAAUGUGGGACGAGGCAGCUGGAAUUAACUGCAUGUCACUGGGUUGAAGGGGUUGGCUGUACUAAUUGACUUUGGAGACAGUUACAGCAGGUCCUUACUUUCCCCCUCCAGACUUUUUCCUCUGGUGCCCCAUGAGACACCUGCAGAGCAGGAACCUCUCCCCUAGCAGGGCCUCCCAAAUGACCCCAAAGUGAAACAAAUGUAUUUCUUUGUGCAUCACACCAUAAGCAGUAUUUUUUGUCUGAAAUGUGUGUUAAGGCUGCUUUCUCACCUUGAAUCAAGUCAACCAGGUCUGCAAUCUGUAAACAGUUGUUCCCCACAACCUGAUGCAAUUAAUUUGGUACAGAUUGCAAAACUGCCUUACUUGUUUUAAGGCUGUUUUCUCACUGUAUAAAUCAAAUUUUAAUGUAAUCUUUAAAUUAUGGUGCAACAUGAAAUGAAAUGCAUGCCCACAUUUUGGUCACUUUUUACACAUUUCAAUGGCAUGUGUCUCAUGCUGGCAGUUUUAAGGACUGAGAAGCAUGGUUCAUACGAAGCUUUCAGUUUUGGUCUCUGUUCAAUGGGCUCACACCCUUGGAGUUUCACCUUGACUUUCAGGUUUAAUCAACCCCCCCGAAUGAAAACUAAACAGGCCCAGUUUCAUGUGAAAACCCAUGCAAACUAAGCUUCAAACAAAAUCAUAACCUAGGCCUAUGUUCAUGCAAUUUUUAGCAAACUGGGCUCCGAUUUGUAACAAAAGCAGGCAAGAUGGGCAUGAUUUUAAAUGAAAAGUUUAUACAGCUCUGUUCAUCUCAUAUCUUCCACCAAUGAGAAUAACUUUAAUUCAUUUUUGAAUGGGGCUGGAUUUGGACUGGUAACCUACAGGUGAAAGUGUCAUUCUCCCAUUCACUGACCCAUCCUCAUAGUCUCUGUCACAUAAUGUAAUGGCCCAAAUCUGUCUUUUUCACUGCUCAGACAAUGCAAAGUGGCCAGAUAUGGCCAGUGAAGACUUUCCCUUUCAGAGGCAAGCUCCCUUCUACAAUAAUGCUGGUGGAGCCUGCUCAGCCAGCAGGCUCGCCACCCCCAACCCUGGUGUAGGGAGCAUGGUGCGGGAGACACAUGCGGCAGCACUCCAUUACACUGAUUCUCAACCAGCCUUAGCUUCUCUAAUUAAUACUGGGACAGGGCUGGCACUGAAUCAGAGAAUUGAACCCAAUAUGUAACUCACUCUAAGGAUGCAAAGGAGAGCUGAGCUGUGCAGCUGUCCUGUGUGACACAUUUCCAAUUCAGUAUUUAUUUUUGUAUUGACAGAGUACAACCCAAAUGCUCCAUUAUUUCACUGAAAGUGGUCCUACAGAUUUUCAGAUAUUAUUCAUGUGGUGAUUAUUUUAUGGGAAGCUGAGAUAUUGUUUUGACUGAGUCAUAAAGAUUCUCACUUGUCAACAUUCCCAGCAACUGACUGUAUGUACAUCAUCACAAAUCUGUAGUUUCCUUUAAUAGAAACAUUUAAUUGCCAAAAUAGAUCUUUAG